rnacentral:rRNA from 1 species
CCUACGGGUGGCAGCAGUGGGGAAUCUUGCACAAUGGGGGAAACCCUGAUGCAGCGACGCCGCGUGAGUGAAGAAGUAAUUCGUAUGUAAAGCUCUAUCAGCAGGGAAGAAAAUGACGGUACCUGAGUAAGACGCCCCGGCUAACUACGUGCCAGCAGCCGCGGUAAGCCGUAGGGGGCAAGCGUUAUCCGGAUUUACUGGGUGUAAAGGGAACGUAGACUGCAGUGCAAGUCUGGAGUGAAAGGCGGGGGCUGAACCCCCGGCCUGUGCUGGAAACUUUACGGCUGGAGUGCAGGAGAGGUAAGUGGAAUUCCUAGUGUAGCGGUGAAAUGCGUAGAUAUUAGGAGGAACACCAGUGGCGAAGGCGGCUUACUGGACUGUAACUGACGUUGAGGCUCGAAAGCGUGGGGAGCAAACAGGAUUAGAUACCCUUGUAGUC